UAUAUAUCUUUAAUUUACUUGAUAAUUUUCUAUGUAGGGCAAUUACGGAUUUUGUGAGUUUGAAGACGGAAGAGACGCAGAGGAUGCAGUUAGGGACUUGGAUGGCUCGCGAGAAUUUGGUGGUAGUAGGCUGAG